rnacentral:rRNA from 1 species
AGUGAACGCUGGCGGUAGGCCUAACACAUGCAAGUCGAACGGCAGCACAGUAAGAGCUAGCUCUUACGGGUGGCGAGUGGCGGACGGGUGAGGAAUACAUCGGAAUCUACUUUUUCGUGGGGGAUAACGUAGGGAAACUUACGCUAAUACCGCAUACGACCUACGGGUGAAAGCAGGGGAUCUUCAGACCUUGCGCGAUUGAAUGAGCCGAUGUCGGAUUAGCUAGUUGGCGGGGUAAAGGCCCACCAAGGCGACGAUCCGUAGCUGGUCUGAGAGGAUGAUCAGCCACACUGGAACUGAGACACGGUCCAGACUCCUACGGGAGGCAGCAGUGGGGAAUAUUGGACAAUGGGCGCAAGCCUGAUCCAGCCAUACCGCGUGGGUGAAGAAGGCCUUCGGGUUGUAAAGCCCUUUUGUUGGGAAAGAAAAGCAGCAGGUUAAUACCCCGCUGUUCCGACGGUACCCAAAGAAUAAGCACCGGCUAACUUCGUG